GAGGGUAUAGCUCAGUGGCAGAGUGCAUGCUUAGAGUGCAGGAGGUCCUAAGUUCAAUCCCCAGUACCAACA
rnacentral:tRNA from 1 species